rnacentral:ribozyme from 2 species
GCUUUAAUGCGGCCCGUUUUGAUACGGCAGGUUACAAGCCCUGGUAAACGCAGAGUAGAGC